rnacentral:rRNA from 1 species
GAUGAACGCUGGCGGCGUGCCUAAUACAUGCAAGUCGAGCGAACGGACGCGACGCUUGCUUCUCUGAUGUUAGCGGCGGACGGGUGAGUAACACGUGGAUAACCUCCCUAUAAGACUGGGAUAACUUCGGGAAACCGGAGCUAAUACCGGAUAAUAUUUUGAAUCGCAUGGUUCAAAAGUGAAAGACGGUCUUGCUGUCACUUAUAGAUGGAUCCGCGCUGCAUUAGCUAGUUGGUAAGGUAACGGCUUACCAAGGCAACGAUGCAUAGCCGACCUGAGAGAGUGAUCGGCCACACUGGAACUGAGACACGGUCCAUACUCCUACGGUAGGCAGCAGUAGGGAAUCUGCCGCAGUGGGCGAAAGCCUGACGGAGCAACGCCGCGUGAGUGAUGAAGGUCUUCGGAUCGUAAAACUCUGUUAUUAGGGAAAAACAUAUGUGUAAGUAACUGUGCACAGCUUGACGGUACCUAAUCAGAAAGCCACGGCUAACUACGUG